rnacentral:rRNA from 1 species
AAGGGUAGCUAUGUUGGAAUGGAUGCACCCAAUUUUGUCUAAUCUUGGAAGGUAAGUAGGCCUGGACCUGAACAAUACCUUGGAUAGAUGAUCCCCUUAAAACCCAGGUGCUGCAGAUA